UUUAUUUUUCUUUUUGAGACAGGGUUUCUCUGUGUAGCCCUGGCUGUCCUGGAACUUGCUCUGUAGAUCAGGCAGGCCUCGAACUCAUAGAGCUCACCUGCCUCUGCCUCCUGAGUGCUGAGAUUAUAGGUGUGUACCACCACCUCCUGACAGUAACUUUUUAAAAAGUCAGUGUAGCAUAUAAUAAACACCACCUAUAAAAAUCCUCCUGGUUCCCCUCAGGAGAUUUGCAUGUGUGUCACUUGCCUCACAUUGGAUUGUAAAUAGAAGGCCCUCUUGGUAACCGCUUAUGACCUGGAGAUGCUAGAAGAUACUAAGAAACAGUGCAUGUCGAGCCCUUACAGAGUGCUGGGCACAUCAUAACUGCUAAAUAUUACCAUUGCAACUACAAUCGCAACAUGAGUUGGAUGGCCAUGGGUCUGUUUCUUGUCAUUAAAGCAUGCUCUCUCCAAGUGUAGUUUUCUUGUUUGGUGCUCCACACUGCCCGAUACUGAGCCUGGUACAUGAUAAGUGCUGAGUGAGUUUGGUCAAAGAAUAAACUUUACCUGGUGUCUUCAAUGCAGAGAAGAGGCCACCAAAGUUCAGGAGAGAAGAAGAGUUGGGACUGGAGAGUCUAGGUCUGUCCUUCUACUGUGAUCUCCUGGGGCAACAGGUGUCAGAGCCACCAUGGGAAGUGGUCCAUGUUGUGAACUACAAGAGUGUGAGUAGGGACUGAUAAUCAGCCAGCAUUCUGCUCAUCAACCUCUGCCUACUAAAGGAGCCCUCCACUAAUGGUACCAAGGUGCCGAGUGGGUGGGUGGGGCCUGGAGGAAGAGGGCUGGAAAUGACGACUUCUACAAGGCCUUCCCAAAUGAGAAACCUGGGUCCGUUCGCUGCAACACAUAUCUGGCCUCCACCCCAGAUGUGCAGCCGUCCCAGCAGCCAGAGGCCAGCUCACCCCACCCAGAUCGCCGGCCAGCUGCAGCCCCCUGUUUCCCAGGGAAGAGAACUAAUAAAG
rnacentral:lncRNA from 1 species